AUGUCUUCUCUGAACAAACUGAACAUGAAAAAUUGCAGACUCAAACCAAGCACCAUCAUAGGAAAUUUAUUUCAUCCAGCCAGUCUCUGUCCAGGGAAGUUUACAGAUGUGAUUUUGACUCCUCACAUCAUGUCUAGCAGAGUGCUCUACAACCUUUCCUGGCAGUCCUCUCCAGCGACACACUAAGGAAAUGAUCCACUGAGGGUCAUAUCAGAUGUCACUAAGAGCUUGGCGUAAACUGGCCAUUUUAAUUGCCUCUCUAGACUGUCUCCAGUUGAUACAUUCUUGGCCUGGUAAGACAUUACAAACCCAAUAGAUAUCAUCAGAAGAUGUGAAUAUAUACCCAAUAUCUUUAGAAGAAAAAU
rnacentral:lncRNA from 1 species